rfam:Dipodomys ordii contig_29278, whole genome shotgun sequence.
UCUGAGGGAGAUCUGGCUGUGAUAUCAGUCACCCCACUGGCCAACUGAUGAAGGGUUGAUUUGGCUGAGCUGGCAGGCCAAGCAGGCAUCCCUGUCCCUGCAGAUUCACUCAAUGAGGACAACUUUCCCUAGAAGGAGAAUGUUCUUCAUUCAAGGGUACACUAGAGACUGUGUUCUUCUAGAAGCUCCAAUACAUUCUCCAAGCACUUAUUCCUUAUAAGUUGACCAACCAAAUGCGCAUCCCUGAAAAGUACCAUAACUUGUUUUUGCCUG